UACAGAGAGUGCGAACGUUGUUCGGAAUUACUGGGCUUAAAGCGCACGUAGGCGGCGUCGUAAGUGUCAGGUGAAAUCCCACGGCUCACCCGUGGAACUGCCUGGCAUACUGCGGCGCUCGAGUGUGGUAGGGGAGAGCGGAACUCCUGGUGGAGCGGUGAAAUGCGUAGAUAUCAGGAGGAACACCGGUGGCGAAGGCGGCUCUCUGGUCCACAACUGACGCUGAGGUGCGAAAGCUAGGGGAGCGAACAGG
rnacentral:rRNA from 1 species